rnacentral:tRNA from 1 species
GCCUUCAUGGUGUAAUGGUUAGCACACUCGGCGCUUAUUCAAGAAGUCCAGGUUCGAGUCCCGGCGAGGGCA